UACGUAGGGGGCAAGCGUUGUCCGGAAUCAUUGGGCGUAAAGCGCGUGUAGGCGGCCCGAUAAGUCCGCUGUGAAAGUCCAGGGCUCAACCCCGGAAUGCCGGUGGAUACUGUCGGGCUCGAGUCCGGAAGAGGCGAGUGGAAUUCCUGGUGUAGCGGUGAAAUGCGCAGAUAUCAGGAGGAACACCGAUGGCGAAGGCAGCUCGCUGGGACGGUACUGACGCUGAGACGCGAAAGCGUGGGGAGGCAAACAGG
rnacentral:rRNA from 1 species